rnacentral:rRNA from 1 species
AGACCCGAAACCCGGUGAUCUAGCCAUGGGCAGGUUGAAGGUUGGGUAACACUAACUGGAGGACCGAACCGACUAAUGUUGAAAAAUUAGCGGAUGACCUGUGGCUGGGGGUGAAAGGCCAAUCAAACCGGGAGAUAGCUGGUUCUCCCCGAAAGCUAUUUAGGUAGCGCCUCGUGAAUUCAUCUCCGGGGGUAGAGCACUGUUUCGGCUAGGGGGCCAUCCCGGCUUACCAACCCGAUGCAAACUGCGAAUACCGGAGAAUGUUAUCACGGGAGACACACGGCGGGUGCUAACGUCCGUCGUGAAGAGGGAAACAACCCAGACCGCCAGCUAAGGUCCCAAAGUCAUGGUUAAGUGGGAAACGAUGUGGGAAGGCCCAGACAGCCAGGAUGUUGGCUUAGAAGCAGCCAUCAUUUAAAGAAAGCGUAAUAGCUCACUGGUCGAGUCGGCCUGCGCGGAAGAUGUAACGGGGCUAAACCAUGCACCGAAGCUGCGGCAGCGACGCUUAUGCGUUGUUGGGUAGGGGAGCGUUCUGUAAGCCGUUGAAGGUGGCCUGUGAGGGUUGCUGGAGGUAUCAGAAGUGCGAAUGCUGACAUAAGUAACGAUAAAGCGGGUGAAAAGCCCGCUCGCCGGAAGACCAAGGGUUCCUGUCCAACGUUAAUCGGGGCAGGGUGAGUCGACC